UAAGUGAAGAGUUUGAUCCUGGCUCAGAGUGAACGCUGGCGGUAGGCCUAACACAUGCAAGUCGAACGGCAGCACAGGAGAGCUUGCUCUCUGGGUGGCGAGUGGCGGACGGGUGAGGAAUACAUCGGAAUCUACUUUUUCGUGGGGGAUAACGUAGGGAAACUUACGCUAAUACCGCAUACGACCUACGGGUGAAAGCAGGGGAUCUUCGGACCUUGCGCGAUUGAAUGAGCCGAUGUCGGAUUAGCUAGUUGGCGGGGUAAAGGCCCACCAAGGCGACGAUCCGUAGCUGGUCUGAGAGGAUGAUCAGCCACACUGGAACUGAGACACGGUCCAGACUCCUACGGGAGGCAGCAGUGGGGAAUAUUGGACAAUGGGCGCAAGCCUGAUCCAGCCAUACCGCGUGGGUGAAGAAGGCCUUCGGGUUGUAAAGCCCUUUUG
rnacentral:rRNA from 1 species